rnacentral:rRNA from 1 species
UACGAGGGGUGCAAGCGUUAUUCGGAUUAAUUGGGCGUAAAGGGUGUGCAGACGGUUUGUUAAGUCGCUUGUUAAAUUCCUCGGCCUAACUGAGGGUAUGCAAGUGAUACUGACGGACUAGAGGGUGGAAGAGAGAAGUGGAAUUCUCGGAGUAGCGGUAAAAUGCGUAGAUCUCGAGAGGAACACCAAUGGCGAAGGCAGCUUCUUGGUCCAUUCCUGACGUUCAUACACGAAAGCGUGGGGAGCAAACAGGAUUAGAUACCCUGGUAGUCCACGCUGUAAACGAUGAUCACUGGACGUUAGUUCUGUUUACAGGACUAGUGUCGUAGCUAACGCGUUAAGUGAUCCGCCUGGGAAUUACGGUCGCAAGACUAAA